AGAACGAACGCUGGCGGCAGGCUUAACGCAUGCAAGUCGAACGCCCCGCAAGGGGAGUGGCAGACGGGUGAGUAACGCGUGGGAACGUACCCUUCGGUUCGGGAUAACCCGGGGAAACUCGGGCUGAUACCGGAUACGUCCGCAAGGAGAAAGAUUUAUUGCCGAAGGAUCGGCCCGCGUCGGAUUAGCUAGUUGGAGGGGUAAUGGCCCACCAAGGCGACGAUCCGUAGCUGGUCUGAGAGGAUGAUCAGCCACACUGGGACUGAGACACGGCCCAGACUCCUACGGGAGGCAGCAGUGGGGAAUAUUGGACAAUGGGCGAAAGCCUGAUCCAGCCAUGCCGCGUGAGUGAAGAAGGCCUUAGGGUUGUAAAGCUCUUUCAGCGGGGACGAUAAUGACGGUACCGCAGAAGAAGUCCCGGCUAACUUCGUGCCAGCAGCCGC
rnacentral:rRNA from 1 species